ensembl:lncRNA
GGACUGUUGAUUCUGGCAGAACCCUUUGCAGACCUUGUACUCCCUUGCUAUUUCCCAAUCCCUGCAGCCUAGCAGCUCUGCCUAACAACUGCCAUAGCCAACACAGCAGCAGGCUGUGCAUGGUGCAAGGUGAUGUGGAAAGGGAUGAUUGUAUGAAAGCGUGAUGCUGUGGUACUGCCUCUGCAGGAGACUCGCACUAUUUGUGUAAGAGGACCUUAUUUGUCUGCUGCAGAGCUGUUUCAAGGCUGUCCAUACACCCCUGUGAUGCUGAGCCCCUCCAAGCAAUGCACUGGGAAAAGGAGGCUGGGGGGAGACCUUAUUGCUCUCCUCCAAUAUUUGAAAGGUGCUUACAGCGAGAGCAGGGUUGGUCUCUUCUCACUGGUGACAGGAUGAGGGGAAAUGGCCUCAAGUUGCACCAGGGUAUGUUUAGAUUGGAUAUCAGGAAACACUUAUUUACUAAAAGGUUGUUAAGCACUGGAAUCAGCUCCCCAGGGAGGUGGUUGAGUCACCAUCCCUGGAUGUGUUUAAAAACUGUUUGGAUAUGGUGCUCAGGGACAUGAUUUAGCGGAGGGUUGUUAGUUAGGGUAGUGUGGUUAGGUUGUGGUUCACUCGAUGGUCUUUAAGGUCUUUUCCAACCUGAGCAAUUCUAUGAUAUGGAUCCCUGGGGCUUUCAGUCUUAUCUCCCUGGAUUAUCACAGGUUCAGCUCUAUGGCCCAUUUGAUUUAUACCGGGGUCUGAUGAACAGGUUUUUCUCUUGGCUCUUCAGGGAUCCUAUUUAGCACUUUUUGGUACAUUCCCCUGCCCUACAAGUCUCCCUGAUACACAGAGCUCUUAUCCAAGACUUGGGACCUUCCCUACUCCAGCCCUCUGCAGGAGGUUUCUUGCUAACCAGUCCUCCAACCAGGACUGCAGUACACGACAAAGAGCUGGAAGAGGUCUGCAAUACUUCCCCAGCAUGAAGCUUACAAAAAUCUGCCUAAAUAAAGGAGAAAACCACAUUUAGAACCCAUCCAAGCUAUGCUACUUCAGUACUGGGCAAAACUUCAGGAGACGUUUGAAGAAAACUGAAGACGUGAAGUAUAAAGGAAUGAUUGAUGUGCACAGUAAACUUUCUUGGAAGGUAAUCACGCAUGGGCUAAUAUCAAUCUUUACAAAGUUGGCUGACUUCCUAGAUAAAGGAAGUACAGUAGAUCUAGUCUACCCAGGCAGCAAAAAUGUUUGACCUGUUGCCCUGUGGGGUGGUGUCACCUGGGCUUGGGGAGGGGGGUCAGGAUGAGGUUACAGGGGAUGUGGAAGCAUACUGUGGAGGAGCAGGUGGGGCACCCAC